rnacentral:rRNA from 1 species
GAUGAACGCUGGCGGCGUGCUUAACACAUGCAAGUCGAACGAUGAACCGGGUGCUUGCACUCGGGGAUUAGUGGCGAACGGGUGAGUAACACGUGAGCAACCUGCCCCUGACUCUGGGAUAAGCGCUGGAAACGGCGUCUAAUACUGGAUAUGUCCCGUCACCGCAUGGUGUGCGGGUGGAAAGAUUUUUCGGUUGGGGAUGGGCUCGCGGCCUAUCAGCUUGUUGGUGAGGUAAUGGCUCACCAAGGCGUCGACGGGUAGCCGGCCUGAGAGGGGAACCGGCCACACUGGGACUGAGACACGGCCCAGACUCCUACGGGAGGCAGCAGUGGGGAAUAUUGCACAAUGGGCGGAAGCCUGAUGCAGCAACGCCGCGUGAGGGAUGACGGCCUUCGGGUUGUAAACCUCUUUUAGCAGGGAAGAAGCGAGAGUGACGGUACCUGCAGAAAAAGCACCGGCUAACUACGUGCCAGCAGCCGCGGUAA